UGGCUCCUUGUGCGCCUGGAUUCAAGCCACAAUUCUACAUUUGUUCUGUAUUAUUAUUUUUUUCUCUCUCUCCAGAGGGAAUUAGAAAGUCUUGCUGUUCUUUUAAGCAUAGGCUGGGAUUCGACAACUUCGCUUGAAGCCGCGCCGUCCCAGGAAGAACAUUUUGAAAAGCACUCGAUUGAACAACGCGAGGGGAACACUUGCCAAGAGACUGGCCAGUUUGGCACAAGAGAACGCGAAGAGCAAUAAUUGCAAAACACAUUGCCCAACCAACAGAUGUAGACGGUAUCUGUCGGGAAGGGAGAAACAAAAGCCUUCUGAAUGAAACAUGGGGGGGGGGGGGGGGGGGGGGGGGGGGAAUGGGUUCAAAUAGAUCAUAACGAAAAUUAGACAGUGCCAAAUUACCCAAUCGGAAAACCGAUGCCAGGACAUGGAUUUCCAUUCCGAUGCAAACGUACUUCAAAUCUAGGUUGUGUAGGAAGGAACUUCAGGUGAUGGUGUAUAUCGAAGAUAAGCAUUCUGCGUCUAUCUUCGGUUGAAAUCCGGGUUAUGGGUUUACACGAAUUAUUCUCGCAACACAAGGAACAGCGGAUAUUGUUUGUCAAACAAUUAGUAAACGUUUAGUUUAUUUGUCAUUUGGAGAUUCUGUGCUGUUUUGCACGUGCAUUGGUAUAUACAAUAUUCAUAGAAUUAAUGGGGAUGUCUUUCACAUAUCAAUGCGGUGUACACAUUGUCCAUGGCGUGUGCGAAUAUUGCACUGUAGUUAUCUGUAAAACAUCUGAAUAAACCAAGUGCAUCUAAAUUAUUUUUCAACCAUUUCAUAGAGCACGGAUAACUAAAACAUCAACCCCCAUCUCCGAAAAGUGAAACCUGUGCAAUUUUUUUUGCCACCCACACCUUGCUCGUUUCUUCCAUUUCACAAUUGUUAGGAGGCGAUAUUGCAAAACAAUAGUUCGCUUCUUGCAUUUAAUGUCAAUCUAUGUUGAAAUUGCCGUGUCUGUCACGUUAAAAA